UAAUACGGAGGGUGCGAGCGUUAAUCGGAAUUACUGGGCGUAAAGCGCGCGUAGGUGGUUUAAUAAGUCGGAUGUGAAAGCCCCGGGCUCAACCUAGGAAUUGCAUUCGAUACUGUUAGGCUAGAGUACGGUAGAGGGGGGUAGAAUUCCCGGUGUAGCGGUGAAAUGCGUAGAUAUCGGGAGGAAUACCAGUGGCGAAGGCGGCCCCCUGGACUGAUACUGACGCUGAGGUGCGAAAGCGUGGGGAGCAAACAGG
rnacentral:rRNA from 1 species